rnacentral:lncRNA from 1 species
UUAUAUUUACUUUAUUAUUCUUGUGAUGUGAUUGCAUAUUCUGUUUGACUUGUUACCUAUCCAUUAUUAUAUCUUCCCUUACUUGUACUUGAUAUUACCAUAUACUUGACUUGUAUUUCUUUUAGAUGUUUUGCUAUGCUAUAUGUGGAAAUUAUAGAACUAUUAGUGCAAGCGGUGUUGGAUACCUUUUUGGGACAUUUUCCGAUUGCCGGUGAGAUGCCCUUAGUGUGUAUUUUUUAUGUUGUAUUUUCUAAUUUCCUCAGUUGGCCUAUAAUACCUACUAAGUAUAAGUGGAUUGUACUCACUCUUAUUGUACCCUUUCGGUCCAGUUUUAGGUUUGGGUGCGCCUCACGGUGUUUCAUUUCAAGCGU